GCCCUGCCAGCUGUGAGGCCCUGGGGCGUGGAGUCCGCCUGCCCGGGGCACGCAUCGGGCUGCUGGCUCGUUCCCUCCGUAGGACGUAGCAGCAUCUGAGUCUUUCGUCUGUUCGUCUGGUUCGGGUCAGCCGCGCCUACCAGAACCCAGGCUGAGGGCAGGGACUCCACAGCCGGCUGCUGCUGUCCCCAGUGCUCGGGAAAACAGAGCGAGACAGACACACGGAGGAGGAUGUCAUAUGAAGACACAGAGAGACCGGAGUGACGGGUCUACGUGGCCAGCUGAGCCCCUGGAGGGCGCUGGCCCUGGAGCUCAGCCUUCCGGCCUCUGGCACUGGGAGAGGAUACCUUUCUGUUGCCUUAAGCUUCCCUGCGUGUGGCGCUUUGUUACGGGGGUCCCAGGAAACACAGGCAAGGGAGGCUGGUGAGAAGGCCAGCUGUGCACCUCUCCGCGGUGCCCAGGGUGCGCCCUGGACUUGCCUCUCCCCCUUGGCAUCUGUUCCCAAGUCCCUUAGCCACUCCUUCCUAAAUACUUGUCGCCUCAGUGGGCCGGCAGUGCCCCCUGAGUGCCCUGGCUGGGGCAGGGGCACUGCCUGGGGAGGGAAGGGGAAAUGAACGUGACCUGUUCUUGUGCCCAA